rnacentral:rRNA from 1 species
UACGUAGGGAGCAGCGUUGCCGGAUUUAUUGGGCGUAAAGGGCGCGCAGGCGGCCACGCGCGUCCGUUGUGAAAUCGCUCGGCUCAACUGGGCGAGGUCAGCGGAUACGGCGUGGCUGGAGCAAGCGUAGGGGGCAAUGGAAUUCCCGGUGGUAGUGGUGGAAUGCGUAGAUAGUCGGGAGGAACACCAGUGGCGAAGGCGGUUGCCUGGAGCUUUGCUGACGCUGAGGCGCGAAAGCGUGGGAGCGAACAGG